CUUUCUGAGCUGGUUACUCCAACCAAGGGUGAUUUUGCCGCUCACUCCCUGCGUGGGUCCCAGUGCUGCUCACAAUCCCCUGGAACAAAGGGGAAACAAUGCAAACCUGUACUAGCCUGUGAUGACACAGAAGUUACUUGGCACAGCAGCUGAUGCAGAGCACACCCCAGUGCCCAAGACAGUGAGAUCUGCUGGCCAGACUUCAACACAACGUUCUUGAAGAACUGAGGGCAGAGCCACAUCUUGGUGGUUAAUUAGCCCUCCCUACCAGGGUGAAUGAGGUGGAGGAUGCUCCUUGGUACUAGGGUCCUCCUAUGUCCUGGGACAGAUACAGGAAUACCACUGGUCAGGGACUGCUGCCUGCUGACUGUGGGAUGGACUGUAAAUCACUGCCAGCUAUGUGACAUUCCUCAGAGACUGUGAAGGGUUUAAAGCCAAAUAAAUGGAAAAUUAAUGUACCUGAAAAUCCAGCAAUUGUCCAGAUAAAACUGUUGGAGGAUAAAGCAACAACAGUAUUGAAAUUACUUCAUUAUUAAUUAACUUGGUUUAUUCAUAUCAAAGAAUUAAUGCAGUUAAAAAGACAGGAUUUUUUCUGAUCUAAUCCAAUCUUCCUGUAUCAAUUAUAUGCAUACUUCAUAUUUCAUAUCUCAGAGCUGUAAAAAUAAUUUAAACACUUCAGGCUGCAGAUCAAUGCUUUGUUAUAUUUGGAAACAUUUUGCUUAUAUUCAGUAAAAUGUAUUAUUUUCUAAAUCUGCAAAUUUAUCAAGUGUGAGAGCCACUGAGCAGUAUCUAAUACAUAUACACCCUGCCGGAUAAUCUCCUUUAUACUUGACAUCUUCUUGUUAAAAAAGUAAUAAAGUAAUUUAUCACGAAGUUCAAUUUGUUUGGUUGAAGAGAAAUACUUUUACGUAAGUCUGUCACUGAAAAUGAUGGAAUAGUCUAUUGGAAUGAACACAAUUUUGAAAACAUAGAUAAACUGAAUUAGAGGCAAUUACCAUCCAGCUAAUCUGAACAGACAGCACGUCUACACAACAAAUUCAGAGUAAAUAACAUCUGUUCAUCUUGUGACUAGUGUUUCCUUUUUUCACUGUCAAUCUAGCAUGGUAAAGCAAACUUUUGAAAAAUCAGUAUUAGAACAGAUUGUUUGAAUAAUUUGAAUUUAUCCUGCAAAAAAAAGCCAAAGUCAGGUGAACAAAAGAAGAGUUAUUAUGGUCUGGGAUGAUCUUAAGGCAGUGUUUACAUAUGGCCCCAUUCAUACUGUCUCUAGACCUUCAUAUUUGGGAGUAUCCAGCGCAGAUACCCAGGUAUCAGAUGUGAGUCAACUCAGAGCAAGACACAGAGUUACUUGGUUUGCCCAUGGGCAGGACCACACUAAGAACUAACUCAAGUUUGAAAGCAAGUUAGCUGCAAGAUUGCACUUUCCUAUUUGAAUUGAGGAACAUAGAGAUCUGUUAAUUUAUUGCUCUCCAAAUAACACUGUUUCACACCUGGAGGCAUACCCAAAUGCAAAAAUGCACAAUUUCCUAGGAAAUAGCCCUACUCUUUUAUAUUAAUCUCCAAAAGGAAAAUUGCCAUGGUAUGUACCUCUUUCUAAUUAUAAGCUUGUUGCUUAAAAAUAGCUAUUUUUAAUAAUAAAACAAACAAACAUCUUUCACACUAAUUUUCAGCUGUAGAAAGUCACUGUACUGCAUCUAUACAGGAAUUACAGAAACUUAUUCUAUCUUCUAUACCUGGUGCGUGACUAAGGAAAGACAUUUUAUCUGUAUAUGCCUCAUUUUAUUCCUCCACAAAUGGAAAUAAAGACACUUUUCUUUUUCUCAUAGAAUCUUUAAAAAUCUUGUAAUAAAAUGUUCUAGAAAACAGCCUGUUACUCCUAAA